UUAUUGGUCAAUCUCCAGCAAGGGGCAGGCCCGGAGAAAGGCGGGUCCUCGGAGGUGGAGAGAAGGUAGACUCUGGCCUCAGGCUGAAGGCCGCGUCACUGUGAGAGUAGCGGUUGCUUUGACCACUGUAAGGUACAGGACCCGGGGCUGGUGCGCCUGCUCACAGGAACGCUGGUUCUCCCACCGAGACUGUCAACCCCUCAAACUGACUGCAAACGGACCUGGUCUAGGUGCGCUGCUGGCGAGAAUAUCAUUAGACAGUUUGGAGACUGAGCUGUCAAUCAGGGUGGAGUCGGGACUGCGACGUCUGUGUGGCUCUGAUAAAGCUCCACAGACAGGAAUGGCCCGCCGGAUGAGAGUGGAUUAACAAACACUGAUGUCUCUUCACAGUCAGGGAAUGAGGCUAGGUGAGGCCUUGGCAGAACCAGUCCACCUGGCAGCGGCUUGGUAAACUAACGUAAGGAGCCAAAUCAGUACUGUCUCCCCCGUCAUCUGAAUCCUAAAAGAGCCAAAGGAAACAAAGGGAUCCAGCUCCUUGUUUCCUUCAAGCCAUUAAAGGUUGCAGCCUCAAGCCUGGCAAGUGACAGAAGUGUGGUAACCAAAAAAAAAAAAAAAAAGUGUGGUAACCAAGCCUCUCCUCACGGCAGGAGCCGUGACUUUGACGCCAUAGGGUCAGCGAAAUUGUGGAUUCCAGUCAGUACCCUUUGUCUUAGGAACAUUCGCCCUACACGUUGACUGUUCUCAGAUGACUUUUCUGACAAAGCCUCUCAAGUCUCUUCCAUCACUUCAGUUUCCUCAGCACCCAGCAACAAGUCUGACCCAUAAGAGAUGCCAGUGAAGGCUUGCUGAAAGGAAUGAGGGACGGAGAGAGAGGUGGCUGAUUGAAAGGUACCCACCUGUACAUGCAGAUAGAAAAACAAAACAUAAAUCAGACAUGAAUAGAUAAAAAUUCAUGAUGUCUGAGAUGACAAAACACUGAAUGGGAUUAGGAGACAACUAGCAAAAGAAGUGAUUUCUUAACUCGAAGCCAUUGGGGCAAAUGCACAGGGCAAAGAAACUGGGAAAGAUUGAACAGCAUAUCAGGCAGCUGUAGGACUUCAUAGGCCCAAUGUAUAUGCCAUUGGAGUCCCAGAAAAUGGAGAUGGGGGUGCAAGGGCAGAAAUAUUUGAAGAUUCAAAGUCAGAAAUUCAAGGAGCUCAAGCAGGCUCAGUAGGUGUGGGAGCUUGUUGCUCAAACAUGAGGACUGAGUUUCAAUCCCCAGCGGGGCAUGAGAGUGCAUCCCUGUAACACCCCUCCCCUGCACCUCCACCCUCACCCCCCCACCCCCCCUACCCACCCCCCCACCCCCCACCCCACCCCCGCUAUUGAGGGUGGAGACAGGGAUUACUGGGGCCUGCUGGCUGCUGGCUGCUGGCUGCCACACCAGCUCUAGGUUCAGUGAGAGACCCUGUCUCAAGGGAAUAAAGACAGAGAUUGAAAACCACCUGAUGGGCUGGAGAGAUGAUGGCUCAGUGGUUAAGAGCACUGACUGUUCUUCCAGAGGUCCUGAGUUCAAAUCCCAGCAACCACAUGGUGGCUCACAACCAUCUGUAAUGAGAUCUGAUGCCCUCUUCUGGUGUGCCUGAAGGCAGCUACAGUGUACUCGUAUAUAAUAAAUAAAUCUUUAAAAAAAAAGAAAAAAAGAAAACCACCUGACGUCCUGGGCUGGCCUCUUCACAUUUGCACCCAUACGUGCACAUAUGCCACAUACAUAUAUCACAUUCUGUAUGAAUAUACAAAAAGGAAAAAGGAAACGGUUAAGUCACUUGUAAAUGCUACUGAGCCCUGAAGUGGGUUCAACUAUAAUCCAAUGUCUCCUGGUCCAUACGUAUGUGUAAGUCUGCAUGUCACAAUCUUGUGGGUAUUCACCAGAGAAGACUGCUUGGACAUGGGUUUAAGCCAAUACAAAGUCUUAAUGGCUGGCCUUUUUUAGGGCGCUUUUACGAAAAAGAAUGUUCUGGGUUGACAUACUUCAGUUAACAAGAACAGUUAGCCAGAAGCAGAACUUCAGAAGCCAAAGAGCAAGGUUAGUUAGCACAUUAGAUAUCUCCCCGGACCUACAGACUUUGAUGGAUUGGGUCCUUGUUUUCCUUUCUGGCACAUGGUGCCAGUUGUGCUAAGAUCCCAGGGCCUACUAAGGUCUAGAACCCUGUUACAACAAUGGCAGCUGAGGAAAGAGACCUUUGUCUUGGCUUGUUGGUGUGGGCUAAAAGGAGUCUAGCACUGCUGUGUGCCCACUCAGUAGUUCCAGUGAACAGAAUGGGGAGCUAUCAUCCCAGAGGCAGAGUUUCAAGCUGUGAACGUGGCCACUCCCACUGUGUGGAAAGGAAUGUGGGUUAGAUUCAGGGGUAGUAGACGGCUCAGCUAAUUAGUCGGAAACCUGAAAUGGCUGUCUAGAAGUUAGAGGAUGGACUGGUCUGAGGAAGAAGCACAGGGAUGGGCUCAUGGGAGUUGACAAAAAGGAUGAAGAUCUUUGGUUGGUUUCUUUGUUCGUAGACAGGGUUUCACUAUGUAGCUUCUGCUGCCCUGGAACUCAUAUGCACACCACACUGGCCUUUGAACUCACAGAGAUCUGCCUACCUUUGCCUCCCAAAUCCUGGGAUUAAAGGCAUGUGCCACCAUACCCAACCAGACCAGAUGAAGAUCUGUGCAUUACACAUUGACCGCCAUGUAUAUGGCUGGAGCCCUUGGCGGUCAGAAGGUGACACUGGAUCCUCUAGAAUUGGAAUUCAUGGUUAUGAAUCACCAUGUGGGUUUGGGGAACUAGACCUGGAUCCUCUGCAAGUACAACAAGUACUUAAAACCUCUGAGCCAUUUCUCCAGCCCCAAAGAUUUACUUUUUAUUAGUUUUACUUAUGUGCGUGUGUUUGUACCCAUUUGUGUACCAUGUACAUACUGGUGCCAGUGGAUGCCAGACGAGACUGUCAGAUCAUCUAGAGCUGGAGAUAAGGAGCCAACCAAUAUGAGUGCUGGAAAAAGAACUUAGGUCAUAUGGAAGCACAGCAAGAGUUCUUAACUGCUGAGUCAUCUCUCCAGCCCUCCAAGUGUAUGCACAUACUUUAAAAAUAAAAUAAUUCUUGCUGGGUGUGGUGCACAUGCCUUCAGUCCCAGCACUCUGGAGGCAGAGGUAAGCAAGAUCUCUCUAAGUUUGAAGCUGGCCUUGUCUACAUGGAGAGUUCCAGGCUAGCUAAAGCUACAAAAGAGACCUGUCUCAAAAAACAAAAAACAAAACAAAAACAAAAACAAAAAACAACCUUAAAAAUUAAAAUCUUUGAAAUAAUUUGCAAAGCAUCUGAUUUGCUGAAAUGGAACCAUGACAUACCUGCCUAGUAUCAAAGUUUUUUUAUGCAAAGGUAUUGUGGCAAUAGGCACAUGACACUCCCUGUUCCUGCCACAUACUGCACCAUCCAGAAGUCAUUUCACUGAUGUACUAGAAUAACUGCAUCAGGAUUCAGAUGCAGCACAGACCUGGAGACAAAGUGCUUUUUUCCAGUAAGUCGUGCGCUCUGAACCAAAAACUGUUUCAUGAGUUCUCUCAUGGUAAUUGUAAUUCCCAGUGACCCACUUGGGAAAUUCUACUCCAUUAAGUUUUCUUAGGUCUAGAGGUCCUGAUUGCCAAAGAGGUCAUGUCUACCAGGGGACAUGGUAAAAUUGAAGCUGACUGCCACCUAAUCACAUGGAACUCAUGUAAGUAAUUAGUAACCACUGAAAACAGUAACCAAAUUGGCUGGAAUUACUGUGUAGCGAGUCUAGAACUCUCUCUAUAGACCCAUGGCCUGGCACGUGUGUGGAGGUCAUAGGACAUCUUGCAAAAGUCAGUUCUCUACUUCCACCAGGAGAGUUCCAGGGAUCAAAUUCUGUUCAUCAGGCUUGGCAGCAAGUGAGACAUCUCACCAGCCCCUUGUCCUUGUAAAUAGGGCUAAUGACUACAUAAUAUAUACAAUGUAUACUAGCAGGAAUGCCUGCCACAGGUCAUUCCCCACCCCACAGCACUAAGUAUUAAAUGCAGGCUUCACCCAUGCUAAGCAAGUGCUCCUCCACUACUAUGCCACAUUCACAGCCUAGAGGCAACUGGGGGGGGCGGGGGCGGGCAGGCAGCUCUGUUCUACUCCCAUGGGAAUUAACUAUAAACAGGCAAGUUGAGCAAAAUGCUCAAGAAAGACAGAGGGAUGAGCUAAUUAGAAGAAAAGUGGGAACUGGAGAGAUGGCUCAGUGGUUAAGGGCACGGGCUGCUCUAACAGAGGUCCUGAGUUCAAUUCCCAGCAACCACAUGGUGGCUCUUCUGGUGUGUCUGAAGAGAGUGACAGUGUACUCUCAUAUAUCGAAUAACUAAAUAAAUCUUUUUUUAAAAAAAAAGAGUUAGAAAAGAAGAGGAAACAAAGAGCCACUUCAAAGAAAGGAAUAUGGAAGGAAUAGAGAAGAGAUUGGAUAUUGCUUGUGGCUACGUGAGGACUUGAGUUCAAAUCUCCAGAACCCAUGCAAAGGAAGCCAUAUCAUCAGCACGUAACUGUAAUCUGAGUGUUCCUGCAGCAACUCGGGAAGCAAAGAGAGGAAGCUCUUCAGAAGUUCACAGUCCAAUACAGGCCGCAGCAAACAAGAGGACCUUGCCUCAGGCUAGAGAGAUGGCUUAGCAAUUAAGAGCAUUUAUCAGGAGAGCCUGGGUCAAUUCCCAAGCACACAGAUCCCAGAGGAUCUCACAACCUCUUUUGGUCAGACAAAAAAGCUAUACACAUACAACAAAUCAAGGAAGACCAAGACAGAGACACAGUCGGAGUUAGACGCAGAGUCAGAAUCAGAGACCGAGACAGAGACCUUGUCUCAAACAAGGUGAAAGGAGGCAAGGACCAACACCCAAGAUUGACCACACACUUCACACGUACACUCAUUCACGUCACUCAUGCACGUGCACGCACGCACACACACACACACACACACACACACACACACACACACACACACGCAGAAUAAUAUAUCAUAAAGGAUAUGAAUUAAGGUCCAGUGAGGACUUUGUGAUCUCUAGGAAGAAGAAUUCGAUAAGAGACAUUCUAACUAGGAAAAGGGGGAAAUAGAAUGACUUUUUAAAAAUUGCUCAGUCUAAAAAACAGAAAAAGAGCUGCCAGCUUUGGUGUUGUACUGCUGUAAUCCCAGUACCUGUGAGGCACAAGGAAGAGAAACACCAAGUUCAAGGCCAGCUUUGUAUGGUAAGUCAGAGGCCAGGCUGAAUUAUAUAGCAAUACCCCGUCUCUAAAACCAAAAACAUUGGCUAGAGAGAUAUCUCAACGGUAAGAGUAUGACUGUUCUUCCGGUUUUGAUUUUCAGCAGCUACCUGGUGGCUCACAACCAUUUAAAAUCUAGUUCCAGUGGAUCCAGUGCAGUUUUGGCUCUGUGAGCACCAAGCACAUAUACAGUGCAUAGACAUACAGGCAAAACAUUCCUACAGCAUAAAGUAAAAGAAGCCCCCAGACUGGCAAAAAUAAAAUCUCUGGCAAGGAAGGGAACAGACCCAAGGGGUUCUCUCAACUGCAUUCUUAAGCAGCAUUCUUAGAAAGCAGCAAAAGGGGGUUGGGGAUUUAGCUCAGCGGUAGAGCGCUUACCUAGGAAGCGCAAGGCCCUGGGUUCGGUCCCCAGCUCCGAAAAAAAGAACCAAAAAAAAAAAAAAAAAAAAAAGAAAGAAAGCAGCAAAAGACCCUAGAGAAACGAUGCAUCGUGGGAAGAUGGCUGCUAACAGCACUAUCUGUAAUUGUCCCCACAUGGAAACUCUCAGGCAUCCCUCUACAGAACUGGCUCUGUGAGCAGUGAUACAGUCAUACAGUGGAAUUGUUUCAACAAUGAGCUUGAACAAAGUUAGCUAUGUGUGGCAAUAUGAAAAAAAUCUCAUAAUGAGCCAAAGAGGUGAGAUGCCAGAGAUUGCAUCUGUAUGAUUCUGUUGCUACAAAACAGGAAAACAGGAAAAUGCUGGAAUGGGUGAAGAACUGGGUGGUGAAGAUUACAAGAACACGAGAGUCACCAAAGCCAGGGCUGCGGAGGGGAGGGCUGUGACAGGGAAUGUCUGUGGGUUCGAUAUGGCUCCUCGGCAACCGUAGACACCCUUUGCAAUUCGGCCCCCUGCACAUUUAUAUUCACAUUUCUCUGCAUUUUAUUUCACAGGAAAUGGAGAAGGAAAGGAGUUGCCUGAGCUCUCAGGCAGUGCAAGGACAGCUGCCAGGAAGCCAAAUGCCUGUGUAGAGAUGAGUCAGAGGUCUGCCCUGCCUCUCCAGUCUCCCUCCAGGGAGAGACAGGAAAGUGGUUUGAAGGGGAUCACCACCUGCACAUACUUUUGUGGUUCAGUGUUGUGGCACUGGCAAAGGCCACUGCCCCUUCUCCAAGAAAAGGAGGUUUCCUUAAGGACUCCAUAGCCGAAGUCUUAACCAGGUGGAGGGAACAGAAGGUGCAGGUGGAUGCUUGCAGGAUGGUUCAAGGGGUUCAGUGAGGUUCAUAUCUGUGUUGGUUCAGGUCCUAGAUCUACUCUGUGGGCCCUUGCAUUGUCUAGUCAUCCCCCCAGGACUUGUAUCAAAGCCUCUUCUCUAUUAGGUUGACCUGUAUUGGGAAUGAAGCUGUGUCUGGGGGGAGGGGGGUCUGGUUGAUAAGGUGCACACCCAGAAACACGACCCAGAGUGGGAGCAACUGGCCCUUGUCUAAGUCUCUAACUACCCUACUGGGGCUUGUAGCUCAGUGGUAGAGCACUUGCCUCUAACAUUAGUAAGAUGCUGGGGUUCCAUCUCUAGCUGUUUAAACAAUAUAUGAAAAUCCUUUUACCAAUAAAAAAAUCUAAAAAGAGGGAAACAAUCUCAAAGAGCAAAAAGGUUCUCCACACUUCCAGACCAGGAAACAUAGAACCAUGUUCCUCCCUGGGCCUUGACUCCAGGAUGCUUCUCUUUGCUCAGAUUCCAAACAGAAGCCAUCUAUGACCACAUCAUAAAAGCAGAAAAGUCAGGGAACCCUCUCGGGGCUUCAGUUUCUCUCUCAGUCCCUCAGAAGUAAGGCAGGACCUCAAGCUCCUGUUGCCCACCCCAAACCCUGCCUCACACACUGGGAUCCAAAAGGCAAAUUUGCUCCCCCACAGCUAUGGCUCUUGGGGUGGCUGAGGGCACCUGAGAGCUAUGGGAGGUUAGCAGAGCUGACCAGAUACCCACAAUGAUUAGUGGAGUGUCAGGGAGCCAGACUGGAGCCAUAGUUUCAACUCGGAGCAGCGAAGCAGUGAUGGAUUCACAUGACCGUAAGUAGCAAAGCUGAGACUCAAACUCAGGCUUCUCCAGUCUCUCACUUAAAAAUGGGUCUACUUGGGGGCUGGAGAGAUGGCUCGGCGGUUAAGAGCACUGUCUGCUCUUCCAGAGGUCCUGAGUUCAAUUCCCAGCAGCCACAUGGUGGCUCACAACCAUCUGUAAUGGAAUCUGAUGCCCUCUUCUGGUGUGUCAGAAGACAGUACAGCAUACUUAUACCUAAUGAAUAAAUAAAUUAAAAAAAAUGGGUCUAUUUCUCCAGCUCAGUAACAUAAAUGCCUGAAGUGUUCACUACACAGUAACCACCACACUAGGAGUUCCUCUCUCAUGGUGUAGGACCAAGGACUGGACUCUUCCAUCACCCCUGUGCACAAUCUUGCAAAUAAGGCCCUCGACUUGAGUCGGUUCACAGAGAUGGACAGCUGUACCAGCUGGUCCAGAGGUAAGACAAGGCUGUGUGAAACCCCUAGGUGGGCCUUGAACCUCACAGUUUAGUCAACUGUUUAGUCAGCCUGAAGGAUCCAGCUCUGACCCAAAGAAUCCUUAAUCUUCUAGCCUUGAAACACAUCAGCCUCUGAGCUGGUCUCCAAAGCAGGAGAUCUGCAGCACCGUGCACACUCGCAGACUCCUAGGCACGGGACUUCUAUUUUGUAUUUUACAGAAAUGGACACUGGCCAUUUCCAUGGACCCAGUCCCUGGUUGAGUUUAGAAAGGGAGGAAAAAAAUGAUUGGCCCCCGAGGGAUUGUUCAAAACAGCAAAAGUUCCAUAUGCCCUAAACCUGACCAUGGCAUCCUGAUCCCUCUCCCACAGUAGGCUGAAAGGAAACAUCUGCAGAGAUGGACAUCUGGUUCCUGGAAACAGAUGCCCAGUGGAAUCCAAUGUCUGUCAUUCACUGCACCCUGUGAUGCCAGGGGGACAUAGCCUCCCACAUUCACAAAUUUGAAGCUUCCAAAAUACAGGAGUUGUGGAGGGGGGCUCCCAAACAAAAGCCCCUCUUACUAGACAGCAGUCCCUGGCUACUGAGCACAAGCCCCAGUCCUUGCUCUAGGUUCUAUGUAAACGCCUCUCCUCCAGGGCUGGAGAGAUGGCUCAACAGUUAAAGAGCUCUGACUGCUCUUCCAGAGGACCCAGGUUCAAUUCCCAGCACCCACAUGGCGGCUCACAACCAUUCAUAACUCCAGUCCCAGGAGAUCUGACACCCUCUUCUGUCACCCCUGGGCCCCAGGUGCCUACACAUGAUACACAGACAAACAUGCAGGCAAGACACUCGUACACAUAAAAUAAUAAAAUACAAAUUAAAAAAAAAACCAACCUUCUUCUCCAACAUAAAGUGCAAUGGUGCCAAGGUCUCUGCCGGCCCUGACAUCCAGAUGCGUUUAUUUUCACAGAAAAAGCCCAGUCUAAACAGCUGUGCCAGGGGUGUGGCCUGGACCAACUGGGAUUACCCAAACUACUUGGGGGUAUGUGGAUGCCACUAGCCCCACCUUUCCUUGGCCUGUCCCACUUCACUCUCGUCAGCACUUCAGGAAGAAGUGUAACUGGAACCUUCCCCUGACCCCCGACCCACCAACCCCACUGGAUUCUAAGCUCCUGGAUCCCAGAAUACAGCACC